rnacentral:rRNA from 1 species
UACAGAGGGGGCUAGCGUUAUUCGGAAUUAUUGGGCGUAAAGGGCGCGUAGGCGGCCACGCGUGUCUUUCGUGAAAUCCCUCGGCUUAACUGAGGACGUGCGGAAGAAACUGCGAGGCUUGAGUCCGGGAGAGGGGGUGGAAUUCCCAGUGUAGCGGUGAAAUGCGUAGAUAUUGGGAGGAACACCGGUGGCGAAGGCGGCCCCUGGACCGGUACUGACGCUGAGGCGCGAAAGCGUGGGUAGCAAACGGG